rnacentral:rRNA from 1 species
UUCGGGUGUGAGUAGAGUGGCGCACGGGUGAGUAACACGUAGGUGACCUGCCUUUUAGUGGGGGAUAACCAGGAGAAAUUCUGGCUAAUACCGCAUACGAAUCACAAUUUUGGAAGUAGUGAUAGAAAGAAUGCCUCUCCUUGGAAGCAUUUGCUAAAAGAUGGGCCUGCGUAGCAUUAGCUAGAUGGUGGAGUAACGGCCUACCAUGGCUACGAUGCUUAGCUGGUCUGAGAGGAUGAUCAGCCACACUGGAACUGAGACACGGUCCAGACUCCUACGGGAGGCAGCAGUGGGGAAUAUUGCGCAAUGGGCGAAAGCCUGACGCAGCAAUGCCGCGUGAGUGAGGAAGGCCUUCGGGUUGUAAAGCUCUGUCAGAUAGGAAGAAUUGCCAAGGGUCCAAUAGGCCCUUGGAGUGACGGUACUAUCAAAGGAAGCACCGGCUAACUUCGUG